GACGAACGCUGGCGGCGUGCCUAAUACAUGCAAGUUGAGCGAUGAAGAUUGGUGCUUGCACCAAUUUGAAGAGCAGCGAACGGGUGAGUAACGCGUGGGGAAUCUGCCUUUGAGCGGGGGACAACAUUUGGAAACGAAUGCUAAUACCGCAUAAUAACUUUAAACAUAAGUUUUAAGUUUGAAAGAUGCAAUUGCACCACUCAAAGAUGAUCCCGCGUUGUAUUAGCUAGUUGGUGAGGUAAAGGCUCACCAAGGCGAUGAUACAUAGCCGACCUGAGAGGGUGAUCGGCCACAUUGGGACUGAGACACGGCCCAAACUCCUACGGGAGGCAGCAGUAGGGAAUCUUCGGCAAUGGACGAAAGUCUGACCGAGCAACGCCGCGUGAGUGAAGAAGGUUUUCGGAUCGUAAAACUCUGUUGGUAGAGAAGAACGUUGGUGAGAGUGGAAAGCUCAUCAAGUGACGGUAACUACCCAGAAAGGGACGGCUAACUACGUG
rnacentral:rRNA from 1 species